UCAGAAGCAGAAUGAUUGAGGGCUGAGAU
rnacentral:piRNA from 1 species